CAAGUCGAGCGGUAAGGCCCUUCGGGGUACACGAGCGGCGAACGGGUGAGUAACACGUGAGCAAUCUGCCCUUCACUUCGGGAUAACCACCGGAAACGGUGGCUAAUACCGGAUAGGACCGCCUCCUGCAUGGGGGGUGGUGGAAAGUUCUGGCGGUGGAGGAUGAGCUCGCGGCCUAUCAGCUUGUUGGUGGGGUGAUGGCCUACCAAGGCGACGACGGGUAGCCGGCCUGAGAGGGUGACCGGCCACACUGGGACUGAGACACGGCCCAGACUCCUACGGGAGGCAGCAGUGGGGAAUAUUGGACAAUGGGCGAAAGCCUGAUCCAGCAACGCCGCGUGAGGGAGGACGGCYUUCGGGUUGUAAACCUCUUUCGACACCGACGAAGGCCCCGUGUGGGUGUGACGGUAGGUGUAGAAGAAGCACCGGCUAA
rnacentral:rRNA from 1 species